rnacentral:lncRNA from 1 species
AUAAACCAUGACUCUGUUCUUCGUCUGCACCACUUCCUCACAGUCUCGAGUUGAUUGCUUCUCCAAUCUUCCUCGCGUCACGUUGAUGUAAGUUUUAGUUAGAAUCAAACAAAAGAGAUGAGCUACGUCUAGCUGUUCCAUUUCUAUUGCACAAUCAUGACCUAAGUUAGUCGAGAGGCAUUCGAUCCCAGAUUCUUUAGAUUUGUAAUAGAAAUUGAUUGUGAAUGUUUAGAUAACGAAACCCGAAAUCGUUGCGUCGAGUCUAUCAGAACCAGUCUGCGCUUACGAACAUCUUUUACAUGUCUGUGUAUGUUGUUUUUUUUUUUUUGAUAAAGGUCUGUGUAUGUUGUUUCAUAAGAGAGAGCGAGACGUGUGGAGAAAUCUGCAAAGCAUUUGAUGCCACGGUGAUCUGGGACGAACAAGGCUCGAGCUAAGCAUUUAAACUUUAAAGAGACUGUUUUUGUUUCUAUAUGACC